rnacentral:lncRNA from 1 species
CCUGGGUUUACAUACUCUCUGUACUACCUUGAACAAAUUAACUUUCCUAAAGUUAUAAAUCUUCUGUGUAAAAUCAGGACAAUUAAGUACCAUAAAGCAGGGGAAAUUAUAUAUAAUUACUCUAUAAAUUCUAGUUAUUAUCACUAUUUUUCAAAUAAAUUUGAAACCAUGUGGCCUCUUGAUAAAGAAAAUUGAAAUUUGAAAAGAAAAUGUUAGUUUCAUAAAUAUAAAAACACUUCUGGACCAUCUCAUACAAAUGUGAAUUUUAUCAGGUUUGAAUUUUAUUCUCUUUUGCUACGGAUACUAUGAUUACAAAGAAAUUUAUAAAAUAUUAUUGCAUACCUAUGUGAUUUGAAAUGCUCAGAAGGAAGGCAGACUCCUUUAAGAAGCAAGUUGGUCUGGGAAUUGUGACUAUUAUAAAUCUGCCAGAGUGAUGUGAUGUCACAAAGAAGUUUCAUGUUAUACCAUCUAUAUAUAAGAAAGGUUGGUUAGAGAAAAAGGUGGAAUAUAAAGACACUCCGGUGCCAUAAGUGAUUUUUUUUUUUUAAAAGAAAGCUUCUAGAAACUUCUAGAAUAUUAGGAGAGAAUCAUUUUGGAUACUUAGAAAAGAAACCAAUGACCCGAGGUUUAUCUGCUUCCUUCAUGAACUUGAAGGAGAGAGUUCAUGGGACAAGAUGGGACACUUGGAAAACCAAAAUAUUUGAGGCUUCAAGAUCUUUCUCCUCCUUUGUCUUUCUAUUACAUUUUUUGUUUCUCCUCUGUCUUCACUAAGGUAAUUAGCAUAUGGGAAAUCUUUCUUGAGAUGAACUAUUAUACAGCAACCUUGAACGUUCUUGUCAAUAAGAACUUAUCUCUUUCUCAGUGUCUCUUAGACCAGAGUACUGUAUAUCAUACACCAGAUCUUGACAGAAUAAUGUGUAUUACAAAACAACUGCAGAAGACUGGCAACAUAAAAUGGCAUUUGACUAGUUUGUUGAUCUGUAUGACAUUUUAUUCGUUGCUUGAAUUUUUUUUCUAACAUUGAAUAGUUAGAAUGAAUUGUACUUGACAUAAGGAUAUAAUAACCCUAUUUGAUUUUUUAAGACCACUUUAUACAGGAUCUAAUUUUCAUAUGACACCAUUGGAAGUAGUUUUUGAAUUACACGUAGUUUUAAAAAAUAUUGAUUCUGGAGAUGAUGAGGGUCUUACCAUAUCCUCCUAUCUGUGAUAAUUCUUAUUUAUAAAAUCUAUACAGCUGCAACAGUUCCAUUCCAGAGUAUGCAUAAGUUUCUUGCAUCUAGGCAUUUUUAGGAAAAAUAAUCUAAAAUUACAAGUUAAAAAUGCAAAUUUAUUUUAAUUCUUGACUAUGCUUUUUAUGUUCUAAAUAUAUUUUGGUAAUUCUUACAGAAAUGUUCCUAUAGAAUUCUAAAUGUGAUCCAAUGAAAUUUAACAUAUUCACCAACAUUCAAACCUACCUACAAUACUCAUAAAAAAUAAAUAAAUCUUAGUGUUGGUUGGAGUUAUUUUU